AUUAGAGAGAGAGAGAGAAAACUUCAAGGCUAAGGAAGCCAUUUUGAUCAAAAUCCGAGCUCCGAAUCCCGAAGCUCAUGAAGAGAAAAACAUUGUACGUUGCGUUGCCUUCAAUUUGAGAUAAAUAUUGGUCUUGGGGGAUGAAAUAUUCGUGGUGGAUCUUCUGAUAAGAUUUCGGACGAAACGGGAUUUGAUUUUAAGGAGAGCAUAAGACGUCUAUAAGCCGUAUGCUGUGUUGCGGUUCCCGAGGCUUCGCCAUAGGGCCGGGUUCCGUUUGGAGUUAUGCUGUGAUAUGGCUGGUGAUGCGAUACGCUCACCUAUGUUUGUGUUUGUGUUCGGGGAUGUACGGAGAUUUGAAACCUUCUGGUGUUAUGCUGUGUGUGGCGCCAGCGUCGGAGUGGCGACCACGUUCUUGAGCGUUUGCAUGAUUUCGUCUGCAUUAUGUAUAGGUACAGUUAUUGGUGAUCCUCCACUGUAGGCUUCACUUUCUGCUGUCUCGGAGCACUCCCUUUGAUCCGGAGUCCACCUUUGGUAUAUAUACCUGCUGCUAUGGAUAUGUCUUUGUACAUUUGACUAUUUGGGUACGGCGGGGCCCUGUCUCGCCAUAUGUCUUUGUUUUGAGUUCGUAGAGGCCUGUAGUCAUAUAUGUGGGGCGAGGGUCCUAUGUAUGUUUGUUCGAUUUUGUUUUUUUGGUCUUAAAGCGGUCCGUUUGUUAUGGUGGCCCUAAAUGGCCCUUAUGCUUAUGUUUGCACUUUUGGCCGGCGAUGUCUAUUCCGCCGCUCAGUUUGGAUCCGAUAUGACAUUUUGAUUUGGCGACCGCUUAAGACAUAUUUUGAUACAACCUAUGUUUGAUAUGACUUUUAUGAAAUUCUGAAAUAAGUUUGGA